rnacentral:rRNA from 1 species
UACGUAGGGUGCAAGCGUUAAUCGGAAUUACUGGGCGUAAAGCGUGCGCAGGCGGUUAUGCAAGACAGGUGUGAAAUCCCCGGGCUUAACCUGGGAACUGCACUUGUGACUGCACAGCUGGAGUACGGCAGAGGGGGAUGGAAUUCCGCGUGUAGCAGUGAAAUGCGUAGAUAUGCGGAGGAACACCGAUGGCGAAGGCAGCCCCCUGGGUCAAGACUGACGCUCAUGCACGAAAGCGUGGGGAGCAAACAGG